AGUUGUUCAGAAAAAUUAUGGAGCAUUUUGAGUCGGCUAUCUAACCUCUCAAAAAUUUUAAUUUUAUCAUUCAACAUUUUAAUUUAUUUGAUUUGAAUAAAUUAAUGAUAUUUUAAUUUUAAAAUUUUAAUAUGUUGUUUAUCUUUACAUAGAUGUUGAGUUUUAGUAUAUUUUAUUUAAUUCUCGCAACUAUAAAUUUAUUAAAAUAAAUAAUUAGUUUAAACUUUGAAGCGUAGCACUGCUUGCUGAUUAAUCAAACAAAGUAAAAGAUUAAAUAUAUAGUAAAAUACAAAUUUUGAAAGAUUGAGUAGCUAAUUCAAAAUGGUCAAUAAUUUAUGUAAGUUCUGUAUGUUUUGACGUUCACAAUGUUACUACAAUGAAUGGGCAAGUAACAAAUUAUAAUUAGAAAUAGGAUGAUGAGAUGAGUAGUUAUGGAGGUAAUAUUAUAAUAUUUUGGUGUAUUUAGUUAAUGAAGCAACUAUGCUUAAGUUGAUA
rnacentral:lncRNA from 1 species